GGUAACACUUUAUUUGAAGGGGUGUUCAUAAGGCUGACAUGACCCUGUCAUUAUUAUGACAUGACAUCUCGUCAUUUUGUAGUGUUCA